AUACGGAGGGUCCAAGCGUUAUCCGGAAUCAUUGGGUUUAAAGGGUCCGCAGGCGGUCAAUUAAGUCAGAGGUGAAAGCCCAUCGCUCAACGAUGGUACUGCCUUUGAUACUGGUUGACUUGAGUUAUACGGAAGUAGAUAGAAUAAGUAGUGUAGCGGUGAAAUGCAUAGAUAUUACUUAGAAUACCGAUUGCGAAGGCAGUCUACUACGUAUAUACUGACGCUGAGGGACGAAAGCGUGGGGAGCGAACAGGAUUAGAAACCCUAGUAGUCC
rnacentral:rRNA from 1 species